UACGUAGAAGACUAGUGUUAUUCAUCUUUAAUAGGUUUAAAGGGUACCUAGACGGUAUAAUUAGUCUUAAACAGGAUACGAUUAUAACUAGAGUUAUAUAUGAGGAGGUGAGUAUUUAUGCAGUAGAGUUGAAAUUCGUUGAUUAGCAUAACGACUGGAUAACGGCGAAAGCAACCUUUUAUCUAAUAACUGACGUUGAGGGACGAAGGCUCGGUAACGAACAGG
rnacentral:rRNA from 1 species